GUGCUUAACACAUGCAANUGGAGCGACGAACCAGGGCUUGCCCUGGGGCAGAGCCGCGAACGGGUGAGUAACACGUGGGUAACCUACCCCGAUGACUGGGACAACCCGAGGAAACUCGGGCUAAUACCGGAUAUGUCCGACGUUCACGAGAACGUCGAGCAAAGGAAGCUUCGGCCUCCGCAUUGGGAGGGGCCCGCGGCCCAUUAGCUUGUUGGUGGGGUAACGGCCUACCAAGGCUGCGAUGGGUAGCUGGUCUGAGAGGACGAUCAGCCACACUGGGACUGAGACACGGCCCAGACUCCUACGGGAGGCAGCAGUGGGGAAUCUUGCGCAAUGCGCGAAAGCGUGACGCAGCAACACCGCGUGAGGGAAGACGGCCUUCGGGUUGUAAACCUCUUUCAGGAGGGACGAAGGUCGGCCGGUGAAUAGCCGUGCCGACUGACGGUACCUCCAGAAGAAGCUCCGGCUAACUACGUGCCAGCAGCCGCGGUAAUACGUAGGGAGCAAGCGUUGUCCGGAAUCAUUGGGCGUAAAGCGCGCGUAGGCGGCCCGAUAAGUCCGCUGUAAAAGUCAACGGCUCAACUGUUGAAAGCCGGUGGAUACUGUCGGGCUAGAGUACGGAAGAGGCAAGUGGAAUUCCUGGUGUAGCGGUG
rnacentral:rRNA from 1 species